GGCACCCCUGAAGGACCAUAUCCACUGUGGACCCCCUUGGGAUCAGCCGAGCUUUUCACACUCUCUGUUGCCCUUGUCCUUGGGCAUCUCAGUGACUCGAAGGAAUUGGGUCUUGAGACACAGCCGAGCCUGUGAGCGCUGACCUGUGUAAAGAAGACACCAGAAUGAGAUGUCUCCACACACAGAGAGCUGCAGCCGAUGCCGGCCGGUGACUUGGGACUUGGAUGCUUAACAGGAGGCUCCCCCUCUCUUGGGAGGUAGAGAGCAGUGAGGAAGGGGACUCAGCCUCCAUGCCUCCCGCCAGCCCAGCUGCGCCCGAAUCACCUCCCUCCUGAAAGGAUGUCAGCCUCUGCUUGGACACCGUGGAGACAGGGCCCUCCUUGUGCUUCAGAAGCAUCAACGUGUCAGAAAAUCAUCUUCACGCCAAGUCUGGAAAAAAUGGCUUUGAGGUUGUGCACACAAAGGAAGGAGGGAGAGCCCCAGGUGUCGCGGAGGACCAUGCGGCUGACAGAGCCAGCAGGGCGGUGGCGUGUGAGCCGUGCUCUGGAUAUAUAAGGAUCUGACGCUGCUGGCAAUGUCUGAGCUCUAUGCUCGCCCAUCUGUCGGCUGCUAUCAUCACCGGGUGGGAUUAGCGGAGAUCCACUCUUUCAUAUUUAAAUCUUCACAAGAGAAUGAAUCACUUUUAUAAUAAAAGAAAAAGACCGUC
rnacentral:lncRNA from 1 species